AUUGAACGCUGGCGGCAGGCCUAACACAUGCAAGUCGAACGAGUGGCGGACGGGUGAGUAAUGUCUGGGAAACUGCCUGAUGGAGGGGGAUAACUACUGGAAACGGUAGCUAAUACCGCAUACCAUCAGAUGUGCCCAUAUGGGAUUAGCUAGUAGGUGGGGUAACGGCUCACCUAGGCGACGUGCCCUAGCUGGUCUGAGAGGAUGACAAGCCACACUGGAGCGUAGACACGGUCCGGACUCCUACGGGAGGCAGCAGUGGGGAAUAUUGCACAAUGGGCGCAAGCCUGAUGCAGCCAUGCCGCGUGUGUGAAGAAGGCCUUCGGGUUGUAAAGCACUUUCAGCGGGGAGGCGUUACCCUCAGAAGAAGCACCGGCUAACUCCGUGCCAGCAGCCGCGGUAAUUC
rnacentral:rRNA from 1 species